rnacentral:rRNA from 1 species
CACACUGGGACUGAGACACGGCCCAGACUCCUACGGGAGGCAGCAGUGGGGAAUAUUGCGCAAUGGGCGAAAGCCUGACGCAGCGACGCCGCGUGAGGGAUGAAGGCCUUCGGGUUGUAAACCUCUUUCAGCAGGGACGAAGCGAGAGUGACGGUACCUGCAGAAGAAGCACCGGCCAACUACGUGGCCAGCAGCCGCGGUAAUACGUAGGGUGCAAGCGUUGUCCGGAAUUAUUGGGCGUAAAGAGCUCGUAGGCGGUCUGUCGCGUCGGCUGUGAAAACUCGGGGCUCAACUCCGAGCCUGCAGUCGAUACGGGCAGACUAGAGUGCUGUAGGGGAGACUGGAAUUCCUGGUGUAGCGGUGAAAUGCGCAGAUAUCAGGAGGAACACCGGUGGCGAAGGCGGGUCUCUGGGCAGUAACUGACGCUGAGGAGCGAAAGCGUGGGGAGCGAACAGGAUUAGAUACCCUGGUAGUCCACGCCGUAAACGGUGGGUGCUAGGUGUGAGCGGUAUUCCACGCCGUUCGUGCCGCAGCUAACGCAUUAAGCACCCCGCCUGGGGAGUACGGCCGCAAGGCUAAAACUCAAAGGAAUUGACGGGGGCCCGCACAAGCAGCGGAGCAUGUGGCUUAAUUCGACGCAACGCGAAGAACCUUACCAAGGCUUGACAUGCAGGGAAAUCUCCCAGAGAUGGGAGGUCCGCAAGGGUCCUGCACAGGUGGUGCAUGGUUGUCGUCAGCUCGUGUCGUGAGAUGUUGGGUUAAGUCCCGCAACGAGCGCAACCCUCGUUCUAUGUUGCCAGCGCGUGAUGGCGGGGACUCAUAGGAGACUGCCGGGGUCAACUCGGAGGAAGGUGGGGACGACGUCAAAUCAUCAUGCCCCUUAUGUCUUGGGCUGCACACAUGCUACAAUGGCCGGUACAAAGGGCUGCUAAACCGCGAGGUGGAGCGAAUCCCAAAAAGCCGGUCUCAGUUCGGAUUGGGGUCUGCAACUCGACCCCAUGAAGUCGGAGUUGCUAGUAAUCGCAGAUCAGCAACGCUGCGGUGAAUACGUUCCCGGGCCUUGUACACACCGCCCGUCACGUCACGAAGGUCGGUAACACCCGAAGCCAGUGGCCCAACUCGCAAGAGAGGGAGCUGUCGAAGGUGGGAUCGGCGAUUGGGACGAAGUCGUAACAAGGUAGCCGUACCGGAAGGUGUGGAUGGAUCACCUCCUU